GAUAUCUCCACAUAUCUAUGCACACAAACAUCAAUCAAUAUUAAUAUAUAGUACAAGUAUUCAAAAUUUAGAACAGCGGUUGCACAUUAAACAAAUAUUCCAGGUGGAUUUGUUUCCAUUCAAACCUAGGCCAACAGUAUUGGCACUUUCUAUUUAAUUAGGCAGGAAAGGCUGAAGCAUGAAAUAAAUAAGGAACAAGUGGAUUCAAUUCAGUAUCACCCAUAACCUAUUACUUGAAACAAUGUAGGCUUUGCUAGAACUCAACAGGUGUGCAUGUGAAGAAUCUCUUAUUGUUAAUGCAACAGUCACAUGGCUAAGAGAAACUUCUUUUUUCUCACAUUAAAUAGGUGACAACAUAUAUAUAUAUAACAGGAAAACUUUGCUCCAUAAGAGGUUAAGAAAUUCCACUCCUACCAUGCACAUUGUACAUGACAAUGACAUUCAAUGAAUAAAAUCCUUCUGUUGGUAUAAAACACAUAACAAAUCUAUUAUAUUUUAAAAGCAUCACCAAGUUAAAACCAGGGAGGGGGGAAAAUAAAAGAGAGAGAGAGAGAAGAAGA
rnacentral:misc_RNA from 1 species